CCUACGGGGGGCAGCAGUGGGGAAUAUUGCACAAUGGGCGCAAGCCUGAUGCAGCCAUGCCGCGUGUGUGAAGAAGGCCUUCGGGUUGUAAAGCACUUUCAGCGGGGAGGAAGGCGUUAAGGUUAAUAACCUUGGCGAUUGACGUUACCCGCAGAAGAAGCACCGGCUAACUCCGUGCCAGCAGCCGCGGUAAUACGGAGGGUGCAAGCGUUAAUCGGAACUACUGGGCGUAAAGCGCACGCAGGCGGUCUGUCAAGUCGGAUGUGAAAUCCCCGGGCUCAACCUGGGAACUGCAUUCGAAACUGGCAGGCUAGAGUCUUGUAGAGGGGGGUAGAAUUCCAGGUGUAGCGGUGAAAUGCGUAGAGAUCUGGAGGAAUACCGGUGGCGAAGGCGGCCCCCUGGACAAAGACUGACGCUCAGGUGCGAAAGCGUGGGGAGCAAACAGGAUUAGAUACCCUUGUAGUC
rnacentral:rRNA from 1 species